rnacentral:rRNA from 1 species
GUGGGGAAUAUUGGACAAUGGGCGAAAGCCUGAUCCAGCCAUGCCGCGUGUGUGAAGAAGGUCUUCGGAUUGUAAAGCACUUUAAGUUGGGAGGAAGGGCAGUAAGCUAAUACCUUGCUGUUUUGACGUUACCGACAGAAUAAGCACCGGCUAACUUCGUGCCAGCAGCCGCGGUAAUACGAAGGGUGCAAGCGUUAAUCGGAAUUACUGGGCGUAAAGCGCGCGUAGGUGGUUUUGUAAGUUGGAGGUGAAAUCCCCGGGCUCAACCUGGGAACUGCCUCCAAAACUGCAUGACUAGAGUACGGUAGAGGGUAGUGGAAUUUCCUGUGUAGCGGUGAAAUGCGUAGAUAUAGGAAGGAACACCAGUGGCGAAGGCGACUACCUGGACUGAUACUGACACUGAGGUGCGAAAGCGUGGGGAGCAAACAGGAUUAGAUACCCUAGUAGUCC